CGAUGAGGACGUCGUACGUCCCGUGGAAUCCUCUGAACGUGUACUCGCCUUGUUCGUUGACAUGUCCGUGAGCAUGAGACGACCACUCUUUCCUGAGAGCCAGGUAUCUCUUGCCGGCUUCAUUGACAUCCCCCUCCGCAUUGACCAGGUGCGCGUUGUCUCGGCUCAUAAACAGCUCCCAGAAUCCCCACAGCAUUAUCCCAUCUACUGCAGGAUGUGCAAAUGCUUCUCGGAGCAUGACCUCCAGAUCAUCAGCUCUUACGUACUCGUUAACAGAGGACACAUCAAGCUCAGUGAACCAGAUUGGAAGGCCGAGGAUGCCCAGCUUAUCCAAAGCCGAAUUAAUGAUUGGUCCCACUGGAUUAUCUAUAUGCCCUUGAAUCCCGAUUCCGCCGACUGGUGCGCCUUGUUCCUGUAGACCAAG
rnacentral:lncRNA from 1 species